rnacentral:rRNA from 1 species
GGACAAUGGACGAAAGUCUGAUCCAGCCAUGCCGCGUGCAGGAUGACGGCCCUAUGGGUUGUAAACUGCUUUUAUACAGGAAGAAACACUCCCACGUGUGGGGGCUUGACGGUACUGUACGAAUAAGGAUCGGCUAACUCCGUGCCAGCAGCCGCGGUAAUACGGAGGAUCCAAGCGUUAUCCGGAAUUAUUGGGUUUAAAGGGUCCGCAGGCGGACUAUUAAGUCAGAGGUGAAAUCUUGCAGCUCAACUGUAAAACUGCCUUUGAUACUGGUAGACUUGAGUCAUUGUGAAGUGGUUAGAAUGUGUGGUGUAGCGGUGAAAUGCAUAGAUAUGACACAGAAUACCGAUUGCGAAGGCAGAUCACUAACAAUGUACUGACGCUCAUGGACGAAAGCGUGGGGAGCGAACAGGAUUAGAUACCCUGGUAGUCCACGCCGUAAACGAUGGAUACUAACUGUUCGGCCUUCAAGUUGAGUGGUUAAGCGAAAGUGAUAAGUAUCCCACCUGGGGAGUACGCUCGCAAGAGUG